GAUGCGGCGCUGGACUCGUGCUCUGCCAGCCCAAGAUGUGCCAAAUUCGCUGGCCCAGAUUCAGAUGGCUGGGUGUCCGCUUGGUGUGCCAGCAAGUAAGCCCGGGAACACAUUUGCAUUAACACCGCUUGGCCACCUCCCCCUGUUCCUGCCUCCCGCGCUGCAUACAACAUCGGUCUUCGUCCCAGAAUGUCAUCUUGAGGCCGCUUUUCAGAACCAGUGCUUCAGCGAAACAUGAGCAUUCCAGGUAUUGAACUCAGACCCUUGGACUUCCACAUCAAGCACUUUUACGAGCUGAGCUUGUUUCCUACUCCCAUGUGACUUUUGAUAGAGGAUCCACGACAGUCUAUCUAAUCCAGCAAAAAGUUUUCUGUUAAGUCAUGUUGAAACAUGACAUCCACAUAGGGAAAGAACUCACCUCAGUCUGCUAUCACACCAUCUACAGCAAACUGUCAAGGGGAGUGGACAUGCUAGCUGAGAAGGCGUGUGAACGGCUGCUGGCGUCAGCAUUCUCUUCCUCACAUGGCAACAAAACCAUCAAGAGUCUUGUGAGACAGGACCUUCGGGCUUUAAUUAAUGAAUUAUUUUUAAUCUAUUUCCUUUGCAACGGACUCAUUUAGACUCUUCGGGGUCAUUUUUGAAAAAAUAAAAUGGUUCUCUAAAUAGAAAUCAGAAAAAAAUCUGGACUCAUGAACUUCUCGCACCAUGGCUCUGAAGCAGAUUGAAGGCUCCAACCCCAGGGGUCACUCUGAGUUACUUGUCUUUGGAAAACAUGCUUCUUCCUUCACUUAUUCACUCAAUAAACAUGCAUUAUGCCAGCUAUCUGCCAAGUUCUGGAGCAGACCUGAGAUAUGAAAAUGAUUAACAAGUAAUCCCAACCUUGAAGGAAUUCAGUUAGGAGAAA